rnacentral:lncRNA from 1 species
UUCAUAUGAACCUGAAUUGUUCGAUUUCAAGGACCAAUCGAUAUCGGAUUGAGUCCAAAACUUGGGGAACAUCAUAAUAUUGUGGGAGGAGUCAUUUGGUGGGUUUUUAGUGAAAUCCAAUCUCUAGAACAAUACAAUACACCAAUCACCCCAUUUCAGAACGAACUUCGUACGAACCUGAAUUGUCCGAUUUCAAGGACCAAUCGAUACCGGAUUAAGUCCAAAACAUGG